AGGUUAUCUGCAUAUAAAUUAUGUUUCCAUUAAAGUGUGUUAAGUAACAUGCACUGUUUUAAUAUAUCUUUCGGUUCAUUAUGUUUAGCUAAAAAUGAGUCAGCAUAAUUUUAGCAUAAUUUAUUAUUACAUUUAGUACAUGUUGGGUAGAGUUAGCAGAUUUUCACAGCACGUCUAGCACAUUUUCAGGAUGAAGUGCUUAAGAAAGUGAUGUAUACUGAAAAGAAGAGUGUGUAGAAGUGAAAAAGAAGAAAAGAGGAAGGAAAGAAGGAGGACCUAAGAAGCGAUACAAAGCGGCACAGGUCAAAAGAAGAAGAAGAAGAAGAGAGUGUGCCGCUGCUAACACUCCGGUACAAAAUUUCAUCUGAAGCAGCUCGACGCCUCUCCCUAGUGGCUGUCUCCCAACGGUAGCACAUAGAGUAUCAGAGGUUUUGACACAAGGGCUGUAUGCUGCACUCUGAGAUCCACCAUGGAGGAUUUGCUGUCGAGUCUUGGUGGGAUUGAAGUGACAUCCUGCCCCAACAACCCCCAUGCUGAGCAUCCCCACUUUGCCCUUUACAAGGUCAAGGCCACUGGGUCCUCCCAGGAUGAGCAGCGCAAGAUGGUUCUGCAGGCCAGGAAGGAGGCCCGAUAUGACUUGUUGUCACUGAUCCGCAACAUUGAUGAAGCUUCAGGUGAUGUGACGGAUGAUAACAAUGAUGACAUGGAGUGUGAACAGGUAAUUUGAUUAAGCUGCUCUGUGUUGUUAAUGUUUGGGGUAAUGUUAGGCUCUAAAUGACAACUGACAUGGAAAAGCCACUACAGUAGGAUCUUGCCAGUAUUGUUUACAUUGGUGCCUGAAAAAUGCCAUUAUUAGUGAAAAUUUUAUCUGCUUAACAUUAAAUACAUGUAUUUAAAAUACAAUGCUGCUUUAAAAGACCCUAGUUGCAGAAAAAGACUCCAUAAGGCCUUAAGCCAUAGAGAUCCCUUUGGUUAGUGUUUGCCUUCCUGUCUUUGAGGCACGGGUAAAAAUUUUUGGUGGAAUGUUUGGGAAAAGAUUUAUUCUCUUAAAUAAAUUAAUUUCUCACAUGCUUCAAGGAAUGAAACCCCACAACACUUGGUGGCUAACGGUGGUUCCUUUCCUGUGAUGUAUUUUCCCAUGUAGGGGCAGGAUAUUGGAUAGCCUGCAUCUCUAGAAGGAGCUCUGAUCUUUCUAUCAUAAAUAAUGUACAGUAAACCCUUGCUUCUCUGAGCCACGAUAUAAUGAAUUUCAACUUUAACAAACAAUUUUGCCUUUCCAGUGUGUGCGGGGAUUUACCAACAAGUUUAGUAAUUGUGGGGUU